GCCCGUCUAGCUCAGUCCGUAGAGCGCAAGGCUCUUAGCCUUGUGGUCCUAGGCUGAAGCCCCAGUCUGGGCG
rnacentral:tRNA from 1 species